AUUGAACGCUGGCGGCAUGCCUUACACAUGCAAGUCGAACGGCAGCACGGGUGCUUGCACCUGGUGGCGAGUGGCGAACGGGUGAGUAAUACAUCGGAACAUGUCCUGUAGUGGGGGAUAGCCCGGCGAAAGCCGGAUUAAUACCGCAUACGAUCCACGGCUGAAAGCGGGGGACCUUCGGGCCUCGCGCUAUAGGGUUGGCCGAUGGCUGAUUAGCUAGUUGGUGGGGUAAAGGCCUACCAAGGCGACGGUCAGUAGCUGGUCUGAGAGGACGACCAGCCACACUGGGACUGAGACACGGCCCAGACUCCUACGGGAGGCAGCAGUGGGGAAUGUUGGACAAUGGGCGAAAGCCUGAUCCAGCAAUGCCGCGUGUGUGAAGAAGGCCUUCGGGUUGUAAAGCACUUUUGUCCGGAAAGAAAUCCUUGGCUCUAAUACAGUCGGGGGAUGACGGUACCGGAAGAAUAAGCACCGGCUAACUACGUG
rnacentral:rRNA from 1 species